AAUUCCAAGCUUCGCGGCCUAUCAGCUUGUUGGUGGGGUAAUGGCCUACCAAGGCGGCGACGGGUAGCCGGCCUGAGAGGGUGUACGGCCACAUUGGGACUGAGAUACGGCCCAGACUCCUACGGGAGGCAGCAGUGGGGAAUAUUGCACAAUGGGCGCAAGCCUGAUGCAGCGACGCCGCGUGGGGGAUGAAGGCCUUCGGGUUGUAAACUCCUUUCGCUAGGGACGAAGCUUUGUGUGACGGUACCUAGAUAAGAAGCACCGGCUAACUACGUGCCAGCAGCCGCGGUAAUACGUAGGGUGCGAGCGUUGUCCGGAAUUACUGGGCGUAAAGGGCUCGUAGGUGGUUUGUCGCGUCGUCUGUGAAAUUCUGGGGCUUAACUCCGGGCGUGCAGGCGAUACGGGCAUAACUUGAGUACUGUAGGGGUAACUGGAAUUCCUGGUGUAGCGGUGAAAUGCGCAGAUAUCAGGAGGAACACCGAUGGCGAAGGCAGGUUACUGGGCAGUUACUGACGCUGAGGAGCGAAAGCAUGGGUAGCGAACAGGAUUAGAUACCCUGGUAGUCCAUGCCGUAAACGGUGGGCGCUAGGUGUGAGGGUCUUUCUACGACUUUCGUGCCGUAGCUAACGCAUUAAGCGCCCCGCCUGGGGAGUACGGAGAU
rnacentral:rRNA from 1 species